rnacentral:rRNA from 1 species
GGGCCCGCACAAGCGGUGGAGCAUGUGGUUUAAUUCGAUGAUACGCGAGGAACCUUACCAGGGCUUAAAUGUAGGUUGCAUGGGGUAGAGAUACCCUUUCUUCGGACUACUUACAAGGUGCUGCAUGGUUGUCGUCAGCUCGUGCCGUGAGGUGUCAGGUUAAGUCCUAUAACGAGCGCAACCCUUGUCGUUAGUUGCCAGCAAGUAAAGUUGGGGACUCUAACGAGACUGCCGGUGCAAACCGAGAGGAAGGUGGGGAUGACGUCAAAUCAUCACGGCCCUUACGUCCUGGGCUACACACGUGCUACAAUGGUAUGGACAGAGAGCAGCCACUUCGCAAGAAGGAGCGAA